GACGAACGCUGGCGGCGUGCUUAACACAUGCAAGUCGAACGGAAAGGCCCUGCUUUUGUGGGGUGCUCGAGUGGCGAACGGGUGAGUAACACGUGAGUAACCUGCCCUUGACUUUGGGAUAACUUCAGGAAACUGGGGCUAAUACCGGAUAGGAGCUCCUGCUGCAUGGUGGGGGUUGGAAAGUUUCGGCGGUUGGGGAUGGACUGGCGGCUUAUCAGCUUGUUGGUGGGGGAGUGGCUUACCAAGGCUUUGACGGGUAGCCGGCCUGAGAGGGUGACCGGCCACAUUGGGACUGCGAUACGGCCCAGACUCCUACGGGGGGCAGCAGUGGGGAAUAUUGCACAAUGGGCGGAAGCCUGAUGCAGCAACGCCGCGUGCGGGAUGACGGCCUUCGUGUUGUAAACCGCUUUCGCCUGUGACGAAGCGUGAGUGACGGUAAUGGGUAAAGAAGCACCGGCUAACUACGUG
rnacentral:rRNA from 1 species